UAGUUAGAAGCGUAGUUAUAUGUAAAUUCGUCAGCGAUGGUGGAAAAUACAGUGCAAUAAGGGUAUAGUCACCGUGUAAGUAAGAAAUUUAAUAAUCUUUAAUACCUAAUAAGAAAUAAUUUAGCUCUACGAUCACAUAUAAUGUGAAGUUGUCUGAAAAUGUAGUUUGAAACGUAAAUGUUGUGUGGGUCAUAAAUACGGUAACUGUCUGUAGCGAGCAAAUCUCAGACUGCAAAGUAUUAAUUAGCACAGGGGUGGGUAAUUUUAUCCAGUAAGAGCAGAAUGACACUACAGCGGCCAGAUACGAAUCCAUGCCUUUGUUCUCGGGAAAUUACGUCUGUAAUGUUUGGUUAUUACACACACCUGUGUAUUCCAGUCAGCCAGUAUAACAAUAUUCUGUAAGCGACAACGUCGGAAUAAAAGUUAUUCUGUUUAUCACUCCAAGGAUUAUUUUUCCGCGAUUGCUAAUUUUCAUUUUAUUGGCGUUAUGUGACUGACAGAAAUUGAUGUCACAAAUAAAUAUACGUGUGUGUGUGUGAUUAUUAUAUAUUUUACACAGUUCGCGAGUGUUUGUACGCGACCGGCUGUGAAAGUGCGUUGUUAGUUGUUGCGCACGACUUGCCGUGAGUCUGACCAAUCAGCGCUGGAACCAUUGUGGUUUAAAUUACGGUAGGUUAGCCGUGAGUCUGACCAAUCAGCGCUGGAACCACUGUAGUUCCAACUACAUAAGGCCUAACUAACUAACGUGGUUCGAACAACUGUGGUACGACGGUUUCGAGAAACAGUCGUUGGUCGGAUGUUGGUUAGUUUGAACUACCAUAGUACGAUGCAUCGUUAAUGCUAACUUCCGUCGUUGUUCGAGAAACGCACCCAAGAGGUAGUACUGUAUUCAAGGACCAAGUAGAGGAGGAUGUACUGCAGAUACUUGAAUAGAGAGUCAUCCUGGACAUCUGUGAAGGGGAGUCACUGGAGCUGAUAACCACAUUUGAAAUCAGCAUUUGGAAUGCAUGAGAGUAUUAUCCUGAGAGUAUUAUCCUGAGAGUAUUAUCCUGAGAGUAUUAUCCUGAGAGUAUUAUCCUGAGAGUAUUAUCCUGAGAGUAUUAUCCUUCGAUUCCCAACAAUUACGGUGGUGCCUCAGACCGCUCUGACAGACACUCCAGAAGAGGUCGGCCCACCCCCAGGCAUAGUUUACACUCUCACUAUCCACAUGGCCCAGACCAGUAAAACGGUGUAAUCCAGUGCUUCUCAAUCUGGUCCUCGGGGUCCCCCAGAAAGUCCAUGUUUUUGCUCCCUCCCUCCCACAGAAGCAAGAUUCUGCUCUGUGCCUCAAACACUUGACCUAAUAUUGGUCUUUCAGCUAACAUGUCAGAGUGUCUGAUGUCCUGGAUGCAGACGCCCGCCCUCUAGAGCUGGUGGAUGGAGACAAAGCCCACUGUGCCCUCUUUCUGAGGGCGGAAUAUGAGCAGAAGAAUAGAGGAGAUUACCUCAAGAAAGCCAGCCAAUAGUGUCGAAAGCACUGGCUUCCACAGUAUUAGGAACUCUACAUACAUUCCACUUUGUUUAGACUGCGAUUUAAGCAUAUGGGUACCAAUUGGACCAGGGUGUUUAUAUAAUGUUAUAUACGGUUACAGAUAAUAUGACAAAAGGGCUGGCAUUUGUCCUCUUGCCUCUGAUAACCACACAACCAACUUCCUGGUUUUGAGAAAUAUAUUUCUGUCAUUGCAAGAGAUAAUAUUCCUAUUUGUCUUUUCGUUUGUUGGGGAGCUGCAGUGGAGUUUAAGCUCCCGGUGAUACAGCUGGCGCAAAUCGCUCAGAUCUUGACAACUGGAAAAAAAAGACAGCAGCCCCUUCGCAGUGACUCGGAACAACUGCAAGUGCCUGUUGGGACUGUGGCAAAACACUUUUCUUUAUGGUACCAAUCAAUCAUAGGUACAGCAAAGCACUGCUUGAGCAGAAGCAGAACCUGCUGUCCUCGCUUUCUAAUUGUUUAAUAAAGACCCCACAUAGACCGCCGGGAUUUAUGGGCCGUACAAGCGACCUGAGGGUGCUGGUAGAGUGAUAGAGCUUCUUCCAUGUGUUUUGAAAUGCACAUGCACAGCAUUUUUCAACUGGCAGUGAUCCCAUUUAGUGCCACAUGAACAAAUGUACGAUCCACUAUAGAUACCUUAAUAAUGCAUUAUAAUGGUCUUAGAAUUAAGGAUGCUUUGUACUGCAUUCUGAAUGUAUUUAUAGUGCAUUGUAGAUGAGAGCUUCAUAGUGCAUUCAUAAUGCAUAAUAAACAUGGCUAUAAUGUGUUAUGCCUUUUUAUAAAUUGUUAUAGCCGUGUUCAUAACACUUUAUGAAUGUGUUAUAAUGCAUUUUGAAGGUAUCUAUAAUGCAUUAUUUAUGACUGCUUUAAGUAAAGUGUUACCAAAGAUGUUACCACAGUUCACCCAAGAGCUUGGUGAGCUCAUUAUACUACUGAAAAAAUAACCCUUCUGUGGAACGAAAUGUCUGAGGCAGACAAAUCCCUUAAAAAAAAGAUAUUGAAGAGUGUUCAUAGCUAUUCAUCCCUAAUGAAGAAAUACACGAUAAUUUCACAAGUAGUGCAGAAAGUGACUGGAGCCAAAAUCCAGGCUCAUUUUUGCUGUUCUUGAAGACAAUAAGCUGGAGGCAGAGUUUGCUAUUACUUGGAAUGCAACUAUCAAUGCUGAACCUACAUAAUUCGGAGAUGCGAUUCAUUACUGAGAGAGUAAUCAAGCAAAUGAAAUAGCGAGUUACCGGCUGGGCCAUCAGCAGAUUUCUGAAUAAGCUUGGUCUGCAUUUAGUUAUACAGAAGUGAAUUUUGGCCUGAAGGUUCACUGAAGGCAACAAAACGGAGGUUCGUACUUGUUAAAGGACAGCAAUAUAUGUAUCUCAGGAAAAAAAAAGCUGGAAAUGACUGCUUCAUCUGCAUGCAGUUUCAGGUCAAGUGCAUGUUUAAAGUGGAUUAUGGAACUGUGUGUCAGAGUGAUGCUUUGGAAGAAGAGGGAUUUUCUCACACAUCCGAAAAGAACCUGAGAGCUACAGUUCUGGGAAUCAGUAGAUUAUUCCAGAACAAAAGGAUCUGCUCUUGGAGGGUAGCUUGUCGGAGCUAUCUGCUGCACCCUGAGAGCCUCGCCCAUAAGCAGCAGCAGCACGAGAUCAGGCAAAGCAGUGGUUAGACAGGUGGACUAAUGAAAAACAGUGAAACGUUGAUGUCCUCUGAAAGCCUGUGAAAGUCUGGAAGCUGGGGAGGUACCUGUGCCCUGGGGGGCCUUCAAAUUGCUGAUCUUUCAGAUGUGGGACACACUGCAUGUCACACUCUGGUGACCAUUUUAAGGGUCUAGUCUUGUUUAUCUGCACAGUGUCCCGAUCCUGCAGCACUCAAUAGCCAAUCCUGCAGGUGCUAUGGCACUUUCUUACCCAUCAGGAGCAUAAUCCCAGAGGCCCAACAUGUACCGUAAUGACUUGAAACCUACUGCACAUUAGAAAUUAUCGUUACCUAGCAACUUGGGUCAAUAAUGAAUUUUCUAAUAAAAACCAAGGAACAUAGUUAUUGCUGCCAAAGAUGGUUUGGUUUCUAAAUAGCUAUAUAAUGUAAUUGAUAUUUUUUAUGAGAUUGUGUCAGCAAAAAUGAAUUUUACGAUUAAUCAGUGUGAAUUUUACGAUGGGUCCUGACAUGAUCCUGACCUGGUUAAGCAGUUAGAAGAAGGAUAGAUGGAUAGACAAAGAGUCGUAACAGGAAAUAUUAUUUUGUAUCAUUAUAAAGUAUCAGCUAAUACAUACCAGUUUAAAGAUUAAAACAGCAUUUUGAGGCCUGCAAACUCUUUAAUACAAGUAUGAAGAGAAUGUGGCAAUAAGCAGGCUGAAAGGCUUUGUAGCGUUUUACAUAUUGGUAUUAAAAGUCCUGCAUAAAAUGCAAAGAUGCAAUAAACUCAAUGGAAAAAGAAGCAUCAGUUUUGAGAUUUAAGUGCAUAAAAAUGUGUGUCUAACAGAAAAACUGUGAGACCUGCUUAUCAGUAGAAGCGAGAUCCUGAGAGAAUUCCACUCAAACCGCAAACUAAUGAUUAAAAGGCAGCACUAGCAGAAUAUUGGGAUUUAUGAGUCUGUUCUUUAAUUUAAAGCUCAGGAGUUUUGCUUCGCGAGUGUAAAGGCCAU